rnacentral:rRNA from 1 species
CCCUUAGAUGUUCUGGGCUGCACGCGCGCUACACUGUCGGAUUCAGCGAGUCAUAUCCUUAACCGAAAGGUUUGGGUAAUCUUUUGAAAGUCCGACGUGAUGGGGAUUGAUCAUUGCAAUUAUUGAUCAUGAACGAGGAAUUCCUAGUAAGCGCGAGUCAUCAGCUCGCGUUGAUUACGUCCCUGCCCUUUGUACACACCGCCCGUCGCUACUACCGAUUGAAUGGUUUAGUGAGAUCUUCGGAUUGGCGCCUACGCGGCUUCUCUGAGGCCACGCUGGAUGCCGAAAAGUUGCUCAAACUGUAUCAUUUAGAGGAAGUAAAAGUCAUAACA